rnacentral:rRNA from 1 species
AACGAACGCUGGCGGCAGGCUUAACACAUGCAAGUCGAACGCCCCGCAAGGGGAGUGGCAGACGGGUGAGUAACGCGUGUGAAUCUACCCAGAUCUACGGAACAACAGUUGGAAACGACUGCUAAUACCGUAUACGCCCUACGGGGGAAAGAUUUAUCGGAUUUGGAUGAGCCCGCCUUGGAUUAGCUAGUUGGUGGGGGAAUGGCCUACCAAGGCGACGAUCCAUAGCUGGUCUGAGAGGAUGGUCAGCCGAACUGGGACUGAGACACGGCCCAGAAUCCUACGGGAGGGAGCAGUGGGGAAUAUUGGAAGAUGGGCGAAAGCCUGAUCCAGCCAUGCCGCGUGAGUGAUGAAGGCCUUAGGGUUGUAAAGCUCGUUCACCGAUGAAGAUAAUGACGGUAGUCGGAGAAGAAGCCCCGGCUAACUUCGUGCCAGCAGCCGCCGUAACAC